rnacentral:sRNA from 1 species
GCCAGGUAUGGACACACACCUGAAGGCCCAGCUACUUGGGAGGCUGAGGCAGGAGCAUCAUUUAAACCCAGGAGAUCAAGACCAGCCUGGGCAUCACAGUGAGACCCCGCCUCAU